rnacentral:misc_RNA from 1 species
UUAAUAUGAUUUGAUUUCUCAAAACGGAAGUAUAUCAGACAGCAUGACAUUUCAUCGACAUGUUUUGUUAUGGGCAUCCGACAGCCUUACCUAAAAGUGAUUUCUCACGAAAAGUGCUGCCGAAGCAAAAGAUGAAUGUUUCACAAAGGGUAGGGUGACAAAUGGGACCGCAUACAAAAGUGCAUGUUUGCCGGUACCCAAAUGUAAGUUCAGUAACUUUACUCGCUAGGAGUUUCAGCCUGUAACUGGUAAUGAUCCUUCCGCAGGUUCACCUACGGAAA